UACGUAGGGUGCAAGCGUUAUCCGGAAUUAUUGGGCGUAAAGGGCUCGUAGGCGGUUCGUCGCGUCCGGUGUGAAAGUCCAUCGCUUAACGGUGGAUCCGCGCCGGGUACGGGCGGGCUUGAGUGCGGUAGGGGAGACUGGAAUUCCCGGUGUAAUGGUGGAAUGUGUAGAUAUCGGGAAGAACACCAAUGGCGAAGGCAGGUCUCUGGGCCGUUACUGACGCUGAGGAGCGAAAGCGUGGGGAGCGAACAGG
rnacentral:rRNA from 1 species